ACAGCAAGGCGGUUAACCGUUGUCAAUGUAUAUAAAUAGUCGCGUCAUGCCGUGUUGUCACAGGUAGCCAUAUUUCUCUACUGAAGAACUCUUACAAGACACAAGAUAACAGGAGUAUCAUGGGAAAGUGGAACCACAGCAGAAACCCCUGGAACUCCCCAGCAAAGAGAAGCGUCUCUCAGCUCCUCCGACAAGAGAAGUUAAUCCGGUGCAGCAACACAACGCACUUAUCAAAGACAGAAAACAAUAUUUUGGAAACGCGCGCAAGGUUGGACAAACUGAAAUCUUCCACUCCGCCAAUCAACGAAGAUCUCAUGAAACUUCAACUACUGUGCCACUCCGUCACCUUUGUGACGUCAUAACUCUCUUCAAAUGACCGUCCAACCAUCAUCAUCUACUGCUUCACUGACAAUGAGUCAUAUUUAUAGAUAUGUACUCGACAGUUAAAAGCAUGUAUGACAUGUAUCUCUGUACAUGGAACCCUGUACUUUUAGCAUGUGUUAUCAUAUGCCUGUGAUGUGUAUCAUUUCACGGUCUUUUUUUCAUAUAUUGAAAUAAUACAUUAUUAUAUACUAUAUAUGUAAAGUGUAUCUUCUGUGCUUGGGAUGUUUUGCACCGGGACGUCGACAAAUGUUAACGAUGCAUGAUCCAGGACGUCGACACAAUCAUAUUAGCAAGGCAUGAUCCAAGUACUUGAAUGUCGUAAACUAUGCAUAUCCAUGUACGUCAGUAUAUAAUUAUAUAUAAAUGAUGGAUAUUCAAGUUCCGUGACCUCCAUGCGUGUUCCUUAAGAGAACGGUGUUAGACGUCAUGAUCCAGCACAUGAUUGUUACUGUCUAUCGAACAAAUAUUCGUUUUUCUUUUCAAGUUGUGCAUUUAUUAUGUGUAUAUCACACGAGGUGAAUAAAUAGUCACAAAUGA